ACUGCUCGAGCUCCUUGAGCGAUUCCUCUAUGCUGAAGUUAUCUCUUGCGGCCCUCUUGCACUCGACUCCAACUAGGUAGGUUUUCUCUUGAAAUAUCUGCAGCAAGCUUCCGAUUUCAGUCCUUGGACCACACCAUAGAUUCAAAUAACAAAUAGAGUUACUUUCUGGAAUGUAAGAAAACAGGGCCAUCUCCGGUGAAUUCGGUAGCUGCAUCUAAUUGUCUCAUCCUCGGUUUCUCACAAGCAUCAGCGAUUCUUAUCUGUGCGGGGGCAAUUCAUGAUCCUAGAGCAGCUAAGCAAUACGAAGCCGUCUACCUCUUUGCCGUUGAUGAGCUUGAGCCGGGCGCGCUCCGCCGCGGCAUCCUCUUCCUCCUGCUGCUGUCGUCGCCUGCUCUUCGGCUACUCAUGGGCCUCCGACGGGCCCACAAUAUCAGCCUCCCCAUCUCUUCCAUCUCGUUCACCGCCGUCUCCUAUCUCACCGACACCACUCUCAUCCUCGACCUCGGUCUCCGCUGGUGCGGGGGCUGGUGCCUCUAGCAACCGCUCGUCGAGGGCCUGGACCACCCCGCCGCGGUGGUGGCGUGGCUGGGACCAGCGGUAGGGGGCGUGACUCUGACAGCGUGGGAUCGAGGCAGCGGUGGAGGUGGAAGGGAGGGGGAGGGAGGAGGCGGUGAAGGACAAGGAGAAGCAAGCGGCUCUCAUGGCGUGACCUGACGAGACGACGCUUCUCUCUAGCUCGUUCCAACAGCCCAGUGGAUUGGGUGAGGAAGUUGCGUCCGGUGAUGACGUGGACAGUUCUCGGCCAUUGGAUUGGAGGCCGCGGGGAUGGUGUACCGUCAAGUUUGACCAAGUCUUGGAAAUGUGGCAAAAAUCAUCAUUCACUAAAGCUAGGUUGUGUUCCUCUGGUUUUCCUUGCCAUAGGUUAUGUCAAAGUUUUAGGCAAAAUUGUUUGCCAUGCUUGGUUUUCGGAUGGGGGCCGAGCGGACGAUGCUUGGUUUCGGAUGGGGGCGAGCGGAUGACCGUUGAUGGGUGAUUUUGGGUUCUCUCCGACGAGUUCGAGGACAAAGGCGAUCCCGAUGGUGAAGGUGGUUUGGUUCCUGUUCGUUCUCUCCCUCUCUUUGGGCCUACGACUACCACGUAGCGGAAUACUCAGCAAAGGAGGUUGGGGCGAUCCUACAAAUCUCGGCAUUCGAUCCGGCGCGGGAGGGGCAACGAUGAGAUGGCAUGCAAGGAUUUGAAGAGGCCGUGGUGGGCGACUUGGUGCGCAGGGUUGUGGCUCGGCGCUCUUCAAAGCCCCAGUGUGGACCUCUAUUGGUGGCCAGCCGUACGACCGUCACACUCAUCGAUUUUCUAGAUAGUUCAUGGACCAAGGUAGUGCCUUGGAAAGGAAGGAUAAAAUGCACCAUGUGGCAGCGUAUGUUAAUCUUCAAAGUGUUCGUAAUCUGAAUAGGGAUGCCUCCUUCCUUCCCCGAUUUGCAGCAUCACCAUUGUCGAAGUCGGAUGCAACUUUGGUGGAUGGACAUUGGUUGUCAAGUUCAAAUUUGCUCGCAUGUCGGACCCGGCUAGAUGAUGAUGGGCCAGAUGUGGCCCAUCAGGAUAUGCAUGCUGCCCAUGACUUUGUGACAGGAAUCAUGUGUGGGACGGUAUUGAUCAUUUUCUUCCCUACUGCACCAUGUGAUUUACGUUCAGCCUUUGUUGCUUGUAUGGAUAAAAUUGGGUUUAGGUCUCCGGCACGUGCAAAAUCUACAUGGGUGUGGCAAACUUCGGAUUCACGCCUUUUUGUCAAAGUCAUCAUGGCAGGGCGGGGCAUGGAGCUGGGUGGUGAUGGUCAUGAUCUUGAGAGUGCUCCUCCUCCCAUGGCAAGGCACCUCAUGCUAGUCCUGGUGGGCGUGCGCCGCUGCCCAGCAUGGUGGUUCCCACGGUGAUGGCGGACGAGGUUAUCGCAACGGUGGCCACAUCAACUCUUUUGGAGGUCAUGGUAAUCAAGGUAUGGGACAAAGUCGGGGCUCCUAUGAUCAAUCUUAUGACGAUUGAUGUCCCUACCAUGAUGAGCGACAAUAACAAGUUUUCGAGGAGGCCGCCAGGAUUAUGUCUUUGGUAACUGUACCUACAACAUAGGAUCCUCAAGCUCGUUUUUUGGCCAUGGUGCUUGUUGGAAAUAUGCCCUAGGGGCAAUAAUAAAAAAUUAUUUAUUUCUAUGUUUAUGACUAAUGUUUAUAUUCUAUGUUAAAAUUGCUAUGGUUCUUGAGUUAGCGAAAACCAAGAGGCUCAAAGGAAA
rnacentral:lncRNA from 1 species